AACGAACGCUGGCGGCAUGCUUAACACAUGCAAGUCGAACGCGAGGGGCUUCGGCCCUUUGAGUGGCGCACGGGUGAGUAGCGCGUGGGAACCUGCCCAGUCGUGGGGGAUAACCGAUGGAAACGUCGGCUAAUACCGCAUACGCCGGAGGCAACUCCGGGAAAGAUUUAUCGCGAUUGGAGGGGCCCGCGUCGGAUUAGCUUGUUGGUGGGGUAACGGCCUACCAAGGCUUUGAUCCGUAGCUGGUCUGAGAGGAUGAUCAGCCACACU
rnacentral:rRNA from 1 species